rnacentral:rRNA from 1 species
AUUGAACGCUGGCGGCAUGCCUUACACAUGCAAGUCGAGCGGUAACAGGUUAAGCUGACGAGUGGCGAACGGGUGAGUAAUGUAUCGGAACGUGCCCAGUCGUGGGGGAUAACUGCUCGAAAGAGCAGCUAAUACCGCAUACGACCUGGGGGUGAAAGCGGGGGAUCGCAAGACCUCGCGCGAUUGGAGCGGCCGAUAUCAGAUUAGGUAGUUGGUGAGGUAAAGGCUCACCAAGCCGACGAUCUGUAGCUGGUCUGAGAGGACGACCAGCCACACUGGGACUGAGACACGGCCCAGACUCCUACGGGAGGCAGCAGUGGGGAAUUUUGGACAAUGGGCGCAAGCCUGAUCCAGCCAUGCCGCGUGCGGGAAGAAGGCCUUCGGGUUGUAAACCGCUUUUGUCAGGGAAGAAAAGGUUCUGGCUAAUACCUGGGACUCAUGACGGUACCUGAAGAAUAAGCACCGGCUAACUACGUG